GACGAACGCUGGCGGCGUGCUUAACACAUGCAAGUCGAACGGAAAGGCCCUGCUUUUGUGGGGUGCUCGAGUGGCGAACGGGUGAGUAACACGUGAGUAACCUGCCCUUGACUUUGGGAUAACUUCAGGAAACUGGGGCUAAUACCGGAUAGGAGCUCCUGCUGCAUGGUGGGGGUUGGAAAGUUUCGGCGGUUGGGGAUGGACUCGCGGCUUAUCAGCUUGUUGGUGGGGUAGUGGCUUACCAAGGCUUUGACGGGUAGCCGGCCUGAGAGGGUGACCGGCCACAUUGGGACUGAGAUACGGCCCAGACUCCUACGGGAGGCAGCAGCGGGGAAUAUUGCACGAUGGGCGGCAGCCUGAUGCAGCAACGCCGCGGGCGGGAUGACGGCCUUCGGGUUGUAAACCGCUUUCGCCUGUGACGAAGCGUGAGUGACGGUAAUGGGUAAAGAAGCACCGGCUAACUACGUG
rnacentral:rRNA from 1 species